UUGCAGGGACUGACUGAUAGGGAAUGUCAGCAGGUAGCAGGGGGAAUAGGCCGCGGUUGGUCAGAGAACCGCGGCAUAUUCCCCUGUAACCUCCUGACAUUCCCCAUCAGUCAGCCCCUGCAAUAAAUUGGCAAGGGAAUAUGCCGCGGUUCUCUGACCAACCGCGACAUAUUCCCCUGUCAAUUUAUUGCAGGGGUUGACUGAUGGAGAAUGUCAGCAGGUAGUAGGGGGAAUAGGCCACGGUUCUCUGACCAACCGCGGCAUAUUCCCCCUGCUACCUGCUGACAUUCCCUAAAAGGCAGGUUGAAGGCAGUUGGGGGGAUUCAGAACGUUGGGGAAUAGGUCGCGGUUGGCCAGAGAAUCGCGGCAUAUUCCCUGAUCUGAGUAAAUUUUAGAAUUUUCAGAGCAUAUGUCGCGGUUGGGGGCUGAACCACGGCAUAUAAGUUAAAAAAAAUUUCAAAAAUGCCUUUAUGGGUUAUUUUUUUUUAAAUGAAUAGGCCGCGGUUAUGUGUAGAACCGCGACAUAUUCUGCUCUUUGUCCGCGGGUUUCAUCUGAACCGCGGUAGUAGCCCUUGCAUAGGUUAAAAUUAUAUGAACAGUUUUCUUCUUCUACGCACUUUUCAGAAAAUAGAAAACGAAACCCCACCGCUGCAAGCUUUUCUCCGUCCAGACUCUGCUUCUUUGUCCAUUAUCGUCUCCAUCCGCCUCCUGAGUCGUCAUCGUCGCCGUCGAACCAGUGCUUCUCCGCUGCCGCGACAUUGACGGCAGCCCAAAUCGUCUCCGUGAUGGACUUCUCCUCCGCGACUCUACUCUUCACCGCGACCUUCUUCUCCCCCGUGCCAAAUUUAUUUGCGAAGAGAACCAAAACAGGUAUGGUUGUUAUCCUCAUUUGUACUCAAUACCUGCUUGAUGUCUGAUUGCUUGUGAUGAAAUGUUGUUUCAAUUGAUUUCAAUUUGAUUAUCCCUACCUUCACCGUGG
rnacentral:lncRNA from 1 species